UGGGGAAUUUUGGACAAUGGGCGAAAGCCUGAUCCAGCCAUGCCGCGUGAGUGAAGAAGGCCUUCGGGUUGUAAAGCUCUUUUAGUCGGAAAGAAAGAGUUGCAAUGAAUAAUUGUGAUUUAUGACGGUACCGACAGAAAAAGCACCGGCUAACUACGUGCCAGCAGCCGCGGUAAUACGUAGGGUGCGAGCGUUAAUCGGAAUUACUGGGCGUAAAGGGUGCGCAGGCGGUCUUGCAAGUCAGAUGUGAAAGCCCCGGGCUUAACCUGGGAAUUGCGUUUGAAACUACAAGACUAGAGUGCAGCAGAGGGGAGUGGAAUUCCAUGUGUAGCAGUGAAAUGCGUAGAGAUGUGGAAGAACACCGAUGGCGAAGGCAACUCCCUGGGCCUGCACUGACGCUCAUGCACGAAAGCGUGGGGAGCAAACA
rnacentral:rRNA from 1 species